ensembl:lncRNA
ACACACACACACCACACACCCCACACACACACACACACACACACACACACACACACACCAUAGACACCUUUCAUCUCAGAAUGUAGAGAAUAUUGCAGAAGGCAGGCAGUGGGGAAUAUGUUCUGCCAACAGGAGGGUUUUGAUGUUGUUUUUGUGUGAGUCUGACAAGCAAUCAAAAGGCAAAAAGAGUGUAUACGUUAUCACUUACAUCCAAACUUGGCACAGGACAAAAUGUCAUAUUCUCUCACUGCUCUUACAAGCGAUCAUGUGACACAGUGCCAUUGUCGACUGGCAUGUGUCUACUUUCAUGCACAUGCAUAGUGCAGACUUCCUUACCAGCUUCCCCAAUCUAAUGGAACCACACCGUUAACAGAACAACCCGGUGUGGUUGCGGCAGUACCACUCCUCUCUCCUUCUCUAGCCCACUGUUCUCUGUGUCAGUACUGUCCACUCGACUAUCAGACGUGCUGAGAUGUGCCGGCGUUGGAAGACGUAUUACAGGGUUAAAUGUUGCAUAGCGUUUUGGUUACUGCGGCGAGGAUCGGUCCCGGAGCAGCACUCUCAGAUGGUCCGCCAUCGGGACGGGGAAAUAUCGUCUGAGGGCACGGUUCCUGAAACCGCAGCGCCGUUUCUCACUGCAAAUGGAGGAAUGGAGACGAAAACCGCAAGCCUGCAGCUGUUCAGCUGGAAGAGAAAGGACACUUUUCUCAGUUUUAAAGGCAAAGUGUGUCAAAUGGAGGCUUUUACGUCCAAAGUCUAAGAGCUCUGCUUCCUUAACCACACUUAGGGGUCUAUUCAAUCAGACAUCCACAUAGCUGUUGUUUUGGCUAGUCGGAGGUGGAACUGGGUUAGAGCCUUCAAAUCGACAAGUGGCUCCUGGCAUUACACCUAAAGCGGACAUUGCCAUUAACUGCACGGAGUUGCAUUAAGGGAAAUCCCAUGCAUCCCAAACAAGUUCAAACACUGGAAUGUGAGAUGUAAUCUACACCUCCAUUAGCCUGAUCCUCUUUUCAUUUAAUGAUUUUCAAUUUGAGCGUCAUUAUUUCUAUAUAUCCUACACUUUCUCCUUCUGAACUUCUAACGUGAGUGGGACGGGUGUGGCUUCGUGACAAUGAUCAAAAGCAGCUGCUCACUGAUUUUGACAGCUCCAACACAGUUCACCUCCGACACCGCCAAAACGCUAGCUAGGUGGGUGUCGGCUAUUGCAGGUUAAGCUUGAUCUGAUUGAAUCUAUGCCAACGUUACAUAAACCUUUUUCGAUUAGCCUGAUAAUAAAUCUUUCCAUGGAUUUGAUGUUCUUACGCCACAUGUCACGGGGAGACACUGGCGGAGUGUGGACACUGGAGGAGUGUGGACACUGGAGGAGUGUGGACACGGGAGGAGUGUGGACACGGGAGGAGUGUGGACACGGGAGGAGUGUGGACACUGGAGGAGUGUGGACAUGGGAGGAGUGUGGACACUGGAGGAGUGUGGACACGGAAGGAGUGUGGACACGGAAGGAGUGUGGACACUGGAGGAGUGUGGACACGGAAGGAGAGUGGACACGGAAGGAGUGUGGACACGGAAGGAGUGUGGACACGGAAGGAGUGUGGACACGGAAGGAGUGUGGACACUGGAGGAGUGUGGACACGGAAGGAGUGUGGACACUGGAGGAGUGUGGACACGGAAGGAGUGUGGACACUGGAGGAGUGUGGACACGGAAGGAGUGUGGACACGGGAGGAGUGUGAACACUGGAGGAGUGUGGACACUGGAGGAGUGUGGACACGGGAGGAGUGUGGACACUGGAGGAGUGUGGACACGGGAGGAGUGUGGACACUGGAGGAGUGUGGACACUGGAGGAGUGUGGACACUGGAAGAGUGUGGACACUGGAGGAGUGUGGACACUGGAAGAGUGUGGACACGGAAGGAGUGUGGACACUGGAGGAGUGUGGACACUGGAGGAGUGUGGACACUGGAGGAGUGUGGACACUGGAGGAGUGUGGACACGGCAGGAGUGUGGACACUGGAGGAGUGUGGACACGGGAGGAGUGUGGACACUGGAGGAGUGUGGACAUGGGAGGAGUGUGGACACUGGAGGAGUGUGGACACUGGAGGAGUGUGGACACUGGAGGAGUGUGGACACGGGAGGAGUGUGGACACAGGAGGAGUGUGGACACUGGAGGAGUGUGGACACUGGAGGAAAUGGGGAUAUUGGAUUUUAGAAAGAGAUAAUAGCCAGCAUGUUAUCCAAUCUGUGUAGUAUAUUUGGCCAUACAUUGGAAAAUAUACAGUACUUAUAUUUGGGACCUCACGUCCUACCACAAAUUGACAUGUAUCCAGGCCUCAGCGAGGUCAUAGAUAAUACGAUGCAGUCCAGACAGUCUGGCGGUUUAGGAUUCCAUCUCUUCCUAAUGAUUGGCCUAAUUCAUGUGUAUAUUCUAUGUUAUUAUCGUCCUCUCGUCUGGAUGAACCGAAUCUCAUCCUCUAUUUAUUGACAUGACUCUGCUUUCUCUUCCUGUCCUUCCCUCUCUUGGUUCCAGCGCAUGCCCGGCGCAUGUUAAAGACCAAGAUGAAAGGGGGAUAUAUGUUUGGUCAUGCUCCAUAACUGACAGAAUAAAACAAACAGACUAUCUACUCCUUGUCUAAACCAUCCUUUGCCAGACCUGUUUCAGCUGUGUGUGUGUGUGUGUGUGUGUGUGUGUGUGUGUGUGUGUGUGUGUGUGUGUGUGUGUGCGUGCGUGCGUGCGUGCAUUAGAGCUCUGCAGACAGUCCCAAUCCUCCAACCCCCAUCUUCUUGUGUGGGAUUUGCCUCCUUUAAGGCUGGUUAGCAGGCUUCAAUCAGACUAAUCCAAAUUCCCUAUCCACCCAGCACAUGGCAGACUAUCAGAUUCACUGUGAUAACAUCACAUACAGUAGGAUGGUUAUACAGUGUUUUGACUCUUCUGCAAACACGGGCUCCAGUUUGCACAUACUUCAGCUGACUUCCUCAAGUGGUUAGUUUGGUCAGCACGGCGCCCAACAUACCUGUAACUAAACACACACAUUCUCAAAAACCUCUGAUGAUGAGUUUAGGUGUGUGUGAGUGGUUUGGUUUGACUAUCCUUGUGUGUACCAGAAGUCCUCACAAGGAUAGUAAAACAAGGAAAAUUCGAACAAGUGGGGACAUUUUGCCAAUCCCCAUAAGGAAAAAGGCUUUUUUAGGGUUAGGGUUACAAUUAGGGUAGGGGUUAGAAUUAAGGAUAGGGUCAGGGGUUAGGUUUAGGGUUAGCAGUUAGCAGUUAGGAUUAGGUUUAGUUUUAGUGUUAGGAGUUUGGGAUUAGGGUUAAGGUUAAGGUUAGGUUAAGGGUUAGGGUUAGGUCCUGUGGGGAAAAUAGAUUUUUGGGUCCCCACAAGGAUAGUAAAACAAAUGUGUGUGUGUGUGAGAGAG